UGGGGCUACCUUGGCUAGCAGCAAGUUAGCCUCGUGGGCAAGCAUACGCCAAGAUGAAUGAAGGCACAAAACUAAGGCGAAUGCCACAGCUCCAGUGUGGGAAUAUUUCAGUUUUAAAAACAGAAUGAGCAAGGUGGACUGGCUGUUUGAGUGUGUGGAAACAGAAGAACAACAGUUGAAUCUGGGACUUACCGAAUACAGGAAGUAUUACGCCGAGUUUGCCCGAGUCAUGCUGGAGGGACCGGAAGAUGGUUGUUUUUUCAGUUGAGACUUUUUUUUUUGUUUUCAUUUAGACAAAAGUAAACAUAUACAGCAAAUGUGGCAUCACUUUGAAGUAAAUUUCCAGAAUGAAAUAGUGCCAGAACAGGCUGCUGCCAAACAUAAAGGAAAUUAGGAAAUAAAAGUACACAUAAUUAACAAAAUAAAUGGUAAAAAAAAAAAAGGUUAAAAAUUUUUUUUAAUGAUAAACUAGGCGUUUCUUACAAUAUUCAGAUCAUUAAUUGGAUGAGAUAGUUCCACGGCUUGUUUUGUCCAAGGUGGACAAAAAAGAAAGCUACAUUGUGAAAUACGUGUUGCUGACCUUUUGAACCCACUAAUAUACAAAAUACCACAGAAUGGAAGUUGGACUACCUCAAGUUCUCAGGUUUUGGACAGGUGCAAUACUACAGUGUGCAUGUCUGAUGGGGCUCACAGUGGGCGAUGCUCAGGUCGGUGUGUGAAUGCUCAGACAGUGGGAAAAUUGGCAGACACGCAUACAAACACACAUCUAAUCUGUUUAAAUGCAAGUGAGAGGCCUUCUGUUGAGUCAUCUUCCCCACCUUGAGCAGAUUAUGAAGUAUAAACUCAGAUAAAAUGUCACCAGAUAAG